GCAGUGAAGUCAGAGUCAGUGACUGAGGGAGAAUCAGUCUCUCUGAACUCUAGUGUCACUCAAAUACAGACACAUGAAGAGAUCGAGUGGAAGUUUGGUGACUUUCUCAUAGCUAGUGUAAAGAACAACAAGAGCAUGUCUUAUGAUGGAAGUGCUGCUGGGAGAUUCAGAGACAGACUGAAACUGGAUCAGACUGGAUCUCUGACCAUCAUCAACAGCAGAACCACAGACUCUGGACUUUAUACAGUCUCCAGCAGCAGCAGAGACACGAUCAACACGAUCAAUCUCACUGUCUAUGAGACUUUUCUUCAUCAUCAUCAUCAUGUUCAUUGGUGUGUUCAGCUGUGAAUGUGAGUCAUGUGACUCUCUCCUGGUUCAAAGGAAACAGUUCAUUGUCCAGCAUCAGUGUGUCUGAUCUCAGCAUCAGUCUCUCUCUACCUCUGGGGGUGGAAUAUCAGGAUAGAAACACCUACAGCUGUGUGCUGAACAAUCCCAUCAGAAACCAGACUCAACACCUCAACAACACUCAACUCUGUCACACAUGUGCUGCAGGUCCUCCAGUCUCUCUGACAGUGCUGAUCUCUGCUGCUGCUGCUGCUGGAUCUCUGUUGAUUGUUGCUGCUGUCGGGAUCUUCUGCAUCUGCAGGAAACACAGAAACACACACAGAGAAG